rnacentral:lncRNA from 1 species
ACGUGACCCUGAUUAUUAUUGAAACGAGAACGAGGGCGUCGUGCCUUUAUAAGACUGCGUUAAUGUUUCCGUAGAGUUAUCCCUUCCGUUGUUGUUUAUUGAUUGUUAAACAUGGCUUCAUUUGCAAAGGUGGUUGUGUGUGUCCUCAUUGCUUUGUCUGUAAUGGUAAGUUUUCCCCUUGUUUCUGUUAGUUGCUUUUUAUCUUGAAAUUCUGUCUGAAAUAGUCACUCGUUUUGUCUUCCUUUGAACAGCAUUCUGUUUUCCGAAGAGAGAUGUGAACUUUAAGGCUUCUGCAGUUGACCGCCAAAGUGAUGAUGUGGUUGUCACCACAACACCCGUUCCCCACAACCAGACCACAUCUGCCCAUACUGAAGCUGGUGGUGGUGCAAGUGAAGAUGCUGUGGCUACUACCCCAGCACCUAAUCCACACAACCAGACAACUUCUGCACAAACUGAAGUUACUGAUGGAGCCAGUGAAGAUGCUGUGGACCGCCAAAGUGAUGUGGUUGUCGCCACAACACCCGAGACCCACAACCAGACCACAUCUACCCAUACUGAAGCUGGUGGUGGUGCAAGUGAAGAUGCUGUGGCUACUACCCCAGCACCUAAUCCACACAACCAGACAACUUCUGCACAAACUGAAGUUACUGAUGAAGCCAGUGAAGAUGCUGUGGACCGCCAAAGUGAUGAUGUGGUUUCCACCACAACACCCAAUCCCCACAACCAGACCACAUCUGCCCCUACUGAAGCUGGUGGUGCAAGUGAAGAUGCUGUGGCUACUACCCCAGCACCUAAUCCACACAACCAGACAACUUCUGCACAAACUGAUGUUACUGAUGGAGUCAGUGAAGAUGCUGUGGACCGCCAAAGUGAUGAUGUGGUUGUCACCACAACACCCGUUCCCCACAACCACACCACAUCUGCCCAUACUGAAGCUGGUGGUGGUGCAAGUGAAGAUGCUGUGGCUACUACCCCAGCACCUAAUCCACAGAACCAGACAACUUCUGAAGUUACUGAUGGAGCCAGUGAAGAUGCUGUGGACCGCCAAAGUGAUGUGGUUGUCGCCACAACACCCGAUCCCCACAACCAGACCACAUCUGCCCAUACUGAAGCUGGUGAUGGAGCAAGUGAAGAUGAUGAUGAUGCAGCAAGUGAAGAUGCUGUGGCUACCACCCCAACACCAAAUCCCCCAACUACAUCUGACCACACUGCAGCUACCGAUGAUGCAAGUGAGGGUGCUGUGGCUGCCCAAACUGGAACUACUGUAUCCCAUACGACUGAAGUCUGAUUCGACUGCUCCUCUGGUCACAAUGACCUGAGUCACUGUCUGGACUUUUUGCCUCUACAUGUUGACUGCAAUAAAGGACAGAUUUGUUUUUUGAAUCA